UAGGGAAUCUUCGGCAAUGGGGGCAACCCUGACCGAGCAACGCCGCGUGAGUGAAGAAGGUUUUCGGAUCGCAAAGCUCUGUUGUAAGAGAAGAACGAGUGUGAGAGUGGAAAGUUCACACUGUGACGGUAACUUACCAGAAAGGGACGGCUAACUACGUGCCAGCAGCCGCGGUAAUACGUAGGUCCCGAGCGUUAUCCGGAUUUAUUGGGCGUAAAGCGAGCGCAGGCGGUUAGAUAAGUCUGAAGUUAAAGGCUGUGGCUUAACCAUAGUACGCUUUGGAAACUGUUUAACUUGAGUGCAGAAGGGGAGAGUGGAAUUCCAUGUGUAGCGGUGAAAUGCGUAGAUAUAUGGAGGAACACCGGUGGCGAAAGCGGCUCUCUGGUCUGUAACUGACGCUGAGGCUCGAAAGCGUGGGGAGCAAACAGGAUUAGAUACCCUGGUAGUCCACGCCGUAAACGAUGAGUGCUAGGUGUUGGGUCCUUUCCGGGACUCAGUGCCGCAGCUAACGCAUUAAGCACUCCGCCUGGGAAGUACGACCGCAAGGUUG
rnacentral:rRNA from 1 species